rnacentral:rRNA from 1 species
UAUCAACCUUUUUUCGAUGCUAGUGAUCGUUUUCGAUGGAUACGACUACAAUACCUGGAUUUGUUGCCAUUAGAGAUGAGACAAACGUAAUUCGAAACAUUAUACACGAAAAUCGAGGAUUUUAAGUAGUUUCGGUACCGGUUUUUAUCCACCUGCGCAUUAAGAAUCCAUUUUUGCGUCAAUUUUGAGGUUAAUUUUAAAAAUUGUCGGUCCAUUCCCUAUGAAAUCAUUUUUAUAGUUACAAAAAUGGUUUAAAACAAGGUCCCUCCCCCUUUUUUUUUUUUUUAACCUAAUAGUAUCUGUAUUAUUUAUUAUUUGAUAAGUUGAAAAUGCUUUCUCAAAAUGAGUUAUAUGCAAAUAGUGUGCGAAUG